rnacentral:rRNA from 1 species
UUAUGUGAUCGUCUCUCGCAUAUCAAUAAGCGGAGGAAAAGAAACUAACAAGGAUUCCCCUAGUAACGGCGAGUGAAGCGGGAAGAGCUCAAAUUUGAAAUCUUAAAGGGUUUCCCUUUACGAAUUGUAGUUUAAAGAAGUGUUUUCUGUUGAGGUUUUGGUAAAAGUUCUUUGGAAUAGGACAUCAUAGAGGGUGAGAAUCCCGUAUUUGACCUUUACUUUCAACUUUGUGAUACACUUUCAAAGAGUCGGAUUGUUUGGGAAUGCAGUCCAAAAUGGGUGGUAAAUUUCAUCUAAAGCUAAAUAUUGGCGAGAGACCGAUAGCGAACAAGUACCGUGAGGGAAAGAUGAAAGAACUUUGAAAAGAGAGUUAAACAGUACGUGUAAAUUGUCAAAAGGGAAGCGUUUGACACCAGUGUUGUUUUUCUGAAAAUCAAUUAAAGAACUGUUUAUGCUAAGUUGUUUAGACUUUAUCAGCUAAUCUGUUUAGUUUUGAGCUUUUCUUUAAUGCACUUUUCAGUUAACAAGUCAACAUCAAUUUCUUUUGCUGUAAAAAAGCUUGAGGAAGGUGGCUUGAGAUUCGUCUUAAGUGUUUAUAGCCUCUUGCCUAUGCAGUCGGAGAGAUUGAGGUCUGCAGCGUAGAUCCUUCGGGGCUAAAUGCAUUUGUGCUAAGUUAUAGCAUUUUAUAGACAACUUGUUGACUAUGAUUUGUCUUGUAGCUUACUCGCUUAUGUUAUUUUACCUACGCUUAGGAUGUUGAUAUGCAUGACUGAUAU